AGUGAACGCUGGCGGUAUGCCUAACACAUGCAAGUCGAACGGCAGCACAGUAAGCGCUUGCUCUUACGGUUGGCGAGUGGCGGACGGGUGAGGAAUACAUCGCAAUCUACUUUUUCUGGGGUGAUUACGUAGGGCAACUUACGCUAAUACCGCAUACGUCCUACGGGUGAAAUCAGAGGUUCUUCAGACCUUUCGCGAUUCAAUUAGCCGAUGUCGGAUUAGCUAGUUGGCUUGGUAAAGGCCCACCAAGGCGACGAUCCGUUGCUGGUCUGAGAGGAUGAUCAGCCACACUGGAACUGAGACACGGUCCAGACUCCUACGGGAGGCAGCAGUGGGGAAUCUUGGGCAAUGGGCGAAAGCCUGACGCAGCAACGCCGCGUGGGUGAAGAAGGCCUUCGGGUUGUAAAGCCCUUUUGUUGGGAAAGAACAUCAGCAGGUUUAUACGCCGACGUCUUGACGGUACCCAAACAAUAAGCCCCGGCUAACUUCGUG
rnacentral:rRNA from 1 species